rnacentral:misc_RNA from 1 species
GAAAGGAGUUAAACGAAGUGUUAUUAAAAGGAAACUUAAACAUAAAAAUUAUAGAGAUUGUUUAGAGAAAUCUAUCUUCACCAGAAAAUUACAAUAUAAUAUUCAGAACUGGCCGAAGAAUUCAUGGUGGAUCAAAACAGGCGCGACCAUAACCCUGCCGCAGGCGUUCCAGAAGUUGCGGUUCCUGACAACACAGAACACUGCCUGAGUUCUUCGUCAACAUAUUCCAAACUGGACUUUUGGAAAGACGUUUUUACAUUGUAUGGGUGGUGUCUUCCAUUAUUUUAUAUACUGCAAGUGGCUACGUACAUAAACACAGAAAGAAAUAUUGAUUAAUUUAUUGGUUAAAGCUAAGGACGUCAUCUGUUUUAAAAUCUACAAUACAGGCUAUUGACCCUUACUGGCACGCUACCCUUUAAAGUCGGAGUUUUUAUUUAAAAAAAAGGUAGGCAGUCUAAUUAGGCAUAGAGGAGUACACAAGUAAAAUUUUGUGAAGAUAGCACACAUCGUUUUAAUUCUAUGGGUGUGCCCAAAGUGGCACACUGAUUGAAUAGAGCUUCAAAAAGAGUGCCAAAACGAGCAUUGUUGUCAAUGAACUGACCAACGAGAUUCGGAGAAACAAGGAAUACAGACUCUCAGUUAUCCUAGAUGAUCGGUGAGCCCGGUCUGGGCACACCUAGGGUUCUCUGUAUGACUUUAGGCAAUAUUUCAAGGUAAAAAUUUAAAACUAAUAUAGAAUAAGGAGAUUA